rnacentral:snRNA from 1 species
CUAAUUAGCUAGGAGGGAAGCCAUCAUGACCAUGAGUAAGGUGCCCUACCCAGGGUGAGGCUUAUCCACUGCACUCUGGGUAUGCAUACGCCCUGGUAUUUCCCUAAAAGUGGGAAACUAUACUGUAUAAUUCUGUUAAUGGAGAAAUGAAUUCCCACUUUCUCCUU